rnacentral:rRNA from 1 species
GACGAACGCUGGCGGCGUGCCUAAUACAUGCAAGUCGAGCGGACAGAUGGGAGCUUGCUCCCUGAUGUUAGCGGCGGACGGGUGAGUAACACGUGGGUAACCUGCCUGUAAGACUGGGAUAACUCCGGGAAACCGGGGCUAAUACCGGAUGGUUGUUUGAACCGCAUGGUUCAAACAUAAAAGGUGGCUUCGGCUACCACUUACAGAUGGACCCGCGGCGCAUUAGCUAGUUGGUGAGGUAACGGCUCACCAAGGCAACGAUGCGUAGCCGACCUGAGAGGGUGAUCGGCCACACUGGGACUGAGACACGGCCCAGACUCCUACGGGAGGCAGCAGUAGGGAAUCUUCCGCAAUGGACGAAAGUCUGACGGAGCAACGCCGCGUGAGUGAUGAAGGUUUUCGGAUCGUAAAGCUCUGUUGUUAGGGAAGAACAAGUACCGUUCGAAUAGGGCGGUACCUUGACGGUACCUAACCAGAAAGCCACGGCUAACUACGUGCCAGCAGCCGCGGUAAUACGUAGGUGGCAAGCGUUGUCCGGAAUUAUUGGGCGUAAAGGGCUCGCAGGCGGUUUCUUAAGUCUGAUGUGAAAGCCCCCGGCUCAACCGGGGAGGGUCAUUGGAAACUGGGGAACUUGAGUGCAGAAGAGGAGAGUGGAAUUCCACGUGUAGCGGUGAAAUGCGUAGAGAUGUGGAGGAACACCAGUGGCGAAGGCGACUCUCUGGUCUGUAACUGACGCUGAGGAGCGAAAGCGUGGGGAGCGAACAGGAUUAGAUACCCUGGUAGUCCACGCCGUAAACGAUGAGUGCUAAGUGUUAGGGGGUUUCCGCCCCUUAGUGCUGCAGCUAACGCAUUAAGCACUCCGCCUGGGGAGUACGGUCGCAAGACUGAAACUCAAAGGAAUUGACGGGGGCCC